rnacentral:rRNA from 1 species
UACGUAGGGUGCAAGCGUUGUCCGGAAUUAUUGGGCGUAAAGAGCUCGUAGGCGGUUUGUUGCGUCGGCUGUGAAAAUCCCGAGGCUCAACCUCGGGUCUGCAGUCGAUACGAGCAAACUAGAGUGUUGCAGGGGGAGACUGGAAUUCCUGGUGUAGCGGUGAAAUGCGCAGAUAUCAGGAGGAACACCGGUGGCGAAAGGCGGG